rnacentral:lncRNA from 1 species
GAAGUGAUUAUGAGGUGAAAAAUGUUCAUAGAAAUGGCCUAAAGCAAAGUUGAGCUAAGAACCUUUCAUUCAUCCGAAAUUGGAUAGUCGAUUCUACAAGGGUUUAUUUUGAACAUAGAUAAAUCUUGAUACACAUAGAAUUUUUCAUGUCAAGACCCACCAAAUUGUACAUAAUUCAAUUAGCUUUCCAACAAUAUCAAUUUCGCCAAAAUCCAAUAAUCGAG